CUUUUAUCCUUGAAAAGAGAUCUUUCCCCUUAUUUCUUUGAGUUUAUGUAUGUUGGUUUCUCAUCUGCUAGUGGGUCUAAAUGUUCUCACUACAUCUUGGGUUGGAGUUUCAGGAUGAAUGGUCAAGCUGAGGAGAUUAACCUGUCUACCCUUCCUGAGAUUCCUGGUGUUACAAGAGACAAUGAAGACGAUGCGGGGGAUGGAUAUAGAAAAGUGCAGAAGAUGUUGGCAGUUGUAUUAUCUUUAAUUGGGGGUAUUUUUCUUCUACUCUUGAUUUUUGGAGCACUUAUGAUUUCAAGGAGGAGAAAAUUCAUUCGGGUACUUGAGGAUUGGGAAGUGCUUUAUGGACCUCACAGGUUCUCCUAUAAGGACCUAUUUAUUGCUACUCAAGGCUUCAGAGAUCGACAACUUCUUGGAAAAGGAGGUUUUGGCAGGGUAUACCGAGGCAUUCUACCAUUCUCAAAUGUUCAAAUUGCAGUAAAGAGAAUUUCUCAUGAUUCCAGUCAAGGAAUGAGAGAAUUCGUAGCUGAAAUCGCAACCAUCGGCCGUCUCAGGCACCCAAACCUGGUUCGACUUCUGGGAUAUUGCAGGCGCAAGAAUGAACUUUUCUUAGUUUAUGACUAUAUGCCUAAUGGAAGUCUUGAUAAGUUCCUUUAUCGAGUACCCAAUUGCAUGCUAGACUGGAAACAGAGAUUCAAAAUCAUCAAAGAUGUGGCAUCUGCACUCUUCUAUCUGCACCAACAAUGGGUUCAAGUUAUAAUCCACAGAGAUAUCAAGCCUGCCAAUGUACUCAUCGACAAUGAGAUGAAUGCCAGGCUAGGAGAUUUUGGUCUUGCCAGGUUAUGUGACCAUGGAAACGAUCCUCAAACCUCUCAUGUAGCUGGUACUCCAGGUUAUAUUGACCCUGAGAUUGUGCAGAGGGGAAAAUCAACCACAUGCACUGAAUAUAUAUGCAUUUGGGGUGUUUAUGCUUGAGGUUACUUGUGGCAGAAAGCCUGUGGAUCCUCGGACUUCGCCGGAGAAAGUAGUGUUGAUCGAUUGGGUAAUGAAUUGCUGGGAUCGAGGAGCUAUUUUGGAGACAGUUGAUUGCAGAC
rnacentral:misc_RNA from 1 species